ACAAUUCUGUGAGCAAAGAGUAAUUGGGGAAGGGGACUUUGUUAGAAGAAAAAAGCUAAGAGAAGACAAAGACAGUACUCAUUUAUUGCAAAAGAGAGCGCCACUUCAGUAGAAUUGACACUUCAGCAGCUGCCAAGGAAACAGUGGAGAAAAACAUACUACCUCCGUUCCGUCAUCUGUGACAGGUUCGUAUCAUAUGACCGAUACGUUGUCUUAAGAUUGAGGAUGGAUGCUUUCUCUCGUAUGUUCGCUUUAACCCGUUGCAAUAAAGACAUGGAUGAUUUCUCCAUA